AGAGUUUGAUCAUGGCUCAGGAUGAACGCUAGCUACAGGCUUAACACAUGCAAGUCGAGGGGAAACGACAUCGAAAGCUUGCUUUUGAUGGGCGUCGACCGGCGCACGGGUGAGUAACGCGUAUCCAACCUGCCCACCACUUGGGGAUAACCUUGCGAAAGUAAGACUAAUACCCAAUGACGUCUCUAGAAGACAUCUGAAGGAGAUUAAAGAUUUAUCGGUGAUGGAUGGGGAUGCGUCUGAUUAGCUUGGUUGGCGGGGUAACGCCCACAAGGCGACGAUCAGUAGGGGUUCUGAGAGGAACGGUCCCCCANAUUGGAACUGAGACACGGUCCAAACUCCGUACGGGAGGCA
rnacentral:rRNA from 1 species